rnacentral:lncRNA from 1 species
UUUAUAUAUUUUAUUUGUUAAAAAUGGCCAAUGAAAAAAUCUCUCCGUCGGUUUUAGAGGCCUUUCCCAUUUUAACAUUGUAAAAGACGGAAUUUUAGUUUAAGUUUAUAUAUUUUAUUUGUUAAAAUGGCCAAGCCCCCAAGGCCUAGCUCAAGUGGCAAAAGGUGGAGAAUUUGUGGCUUAGGUCACAAGUUCAAGCCCCACACCAUGCAAAGCGAAGCCCGGUAUUUAAGUGGAGAAGGGUAGAGGGGCGGACCCAUUAUCCACCGAGUUUAGAAGGCUGUGAUUGGUCCAAAGGGCGGGUCACAGACGGAUUUCUCGGUUAUCAAAAAAAAAGGGCCAAUGAGAAAAUCUCUCCGUCGGUUUUGGAGGCCUCCACAUUGUAAAAGACGGGAAUUUAGUUUAAGUUUAUAUGUACUAUUUGUUAAAAUUGGCCGAUGAAGAAAUUACCGUCGAUUUCUAAGGCCUCUCAUGUUAAUAAGACGGAUGUUUAUUUUUAAGUUAUUGUUUAAUUCAUUUACUUUUAGUCACAUUUAUUUAGUACUAACACUUUUACUAAGUGUCUUUACAGGUACCUCGAAGUCACUUCUCAUCGAAGCCAUUCGAAUAAAGUUUGAAUGUUAUAUUCAUAAUUAUGUAUAUUGUUGACGAUAGACAAAUAUUAAGUCGUUUCUCAUAUUACUUGUUUACUUUAUUAUGUGUGUAUAUUGCAUGUUUGUUAUAUUUGUAUAAUAUUUUUACAUCCUCCUCAAUUUGAAAAAAUGAAUUCAGUCGGGAC